GAUGAACGCUGGCGGCGUGCCUAAUACAUGCAAGUCGAGCGAACAGACGAGGAGCUUGCUCCUCUGACGUUAGCGGCGGACGGGUGAGUAACACGUGGAUAACCUACCUAUAAGACUGGGAUAACUUCGGGAAACCGGAGCUAAUACCGGAUAAUAUAUUGAACCGCAUGGUUCAAUAGUGAAAGACGGUUUUGCUGUCACUUAUAGAUGGAUCCGCGCCGCAUUAGCUAGUUGGUAAGGUAACGGCUUACCAAGGCAACGAUGCGUAGCCGACCUGAGAGGGGGACCGGCACCCUGGAACUGAGGACCCGUCCCGACUCCUACGGGAGGCAGCAGUAGGGAAUCUUCCGCAAUGGGCGAAAGCCUGACGGAGCAACGCCGCGUGAGUGAUGAAGGCCUUCGGAUCGUAAAACUCUGUUAUUAGGGAAGAACAAAUGUGUAAGUAACUAUGCACGUCUUGACGGUACCUAAUCAGAAAGCCACGGCUAACUACGUG
rnacentral:rRNA from 1 species